rnacentral:rRNA from 1 species
AACGAACGCUGGCGGCAGGCCUAACACAUGCAAGUCGAACGCCCUAGCAAUAGGGAGUGGCGCACGGGUGCGUAACGCGUGGGAAUAUGCCCUUCACUACGGGACAACAUCGGGAAACUGAUGCUAAUACCGUAUAAUGACUCCGGUCCAAAGAUUUAUCGGUGAGGGAUUAGCCCGCGUUAGAUUAGCUAGUUGGUGAGGUAACGGCUCACCAAGGCAACGAUCUAUAGCUGGUCUGAGAGGAUGAUCAGCCACACUGGAACUGAGACACGGUCCAGACCCCUACGGGAGGCAGCAGUGAGGAAUAUUGGACAAUGGGGGAAACCCUGAUCCAGCCAUGCCGCGUGAGUGAAGAAGGCCUUCGGGUUGUAAAGCUCUUUUAGAUGUGAAGAUAAUGACGGUAGCAUCAGAAAAAGCCCCGGCUAAAUUCGUGCCAGCAGCCGCAGUAA